UUGGUCUUUUUCUUUCUCUAUCUCACUAGGUCUUAUGCCAGCUUCUGUAAUUUAAUUUACAUUUGUACUAUCAGCAUUAUAAAUUUGGGCACUUCAUAUUCAAGCACUAAGUUUCAUGUGAACCUUAAAAAGGCUUGUGUACGCUGCCUGGGCCCCUCUUGAAGUACUCAUGGACAGGUAGCAGAAAGAAGCUACCGUUCUUGUCCCUGGUCUGCUGAGCUCAUCGGUUGUAUUCCCAUGUAUUGUUACUGAAGCUCAAUUGGAUCUUCAAUCAUGUUAUCUCCUAGAAUAAGAGAAGGGGAGACUUCCACGAAUUACAUCAAUUUGGACACACGGUCAGACUGUCAUCCUCUAGAGACGGGGAAUUUGCUGUUUGGCUGCCACAAUUCUGUGUUUGUCAGGGGCCUUCCAGCACUCUGCACACUGUUGCUGCUACUAAUCCUACCAUUUGCAUACAGCACCAGCUGGUCAAAGAGCUGCCCAUGGCAAAAUGAACAGAGAAGUGAACUUUUGAAAAGUAUGAUAUUCAAGUUUUGAAGCUAACUGUCAUGAGUGGGCAGAGGAGGAAUGCU
rnacentral:lncRNA from 1 species